rnacentral:rRNA from 1 species
AUUGAACGCUGGCGGAAUGCUUUACACAUGCAAGUCGAACGGCAGCACGGGGGUAACCCUGGUGGCGAGUGGCGAACGGGUGAGUAAUAUAUCGGAACGUGCCCAAUCGUGGGGGAUAACGUAGCGAAAGCUACGCUAAUACCGCAUACGAUCUACGGAUGAAAGCGGGGGAUCGCAAGACCUCGCGCGAAUGGAGCGGCCGAUGGCAGAUUAGGUAGUUGGUGGGGUAAAGGCUCACCAAGCCAACGAUCUGUAGCUGGUCUGAGAGGACGACCAGCCACACUGGGACUGAGACACGGCCCAGACUCCUACAGGAGGCAGCAGUGGGGAAUUUUGGACAAUGGGCGCAAGCCUGAUCCAGCCAUUCCGCGUGCAGGAUGAAGGCCUUCGGGUUGUAAACUGCUUUUGUACGGAACGAAACGGCCCUUUCUAAUACAGAGGGCUAAUGACGGUACCGUAAGAAUAAGCACGGGCUAACUACGUGCCAGCAGCCGCGGUAA